CUUGUUAAAAAAAAUCCAUCAACAGCAGAAGUCACUAACCAAAUCUAGGUACAUUCUCCUAAUGAAAAUCCACCCAGUAUCAGAAUGAGGAAGCACAGCCACCUCAAAAUGGUUGCUCCUAAAUUGUCAACUUUAAGAAAGCAGGAAAAUGUGAUGACUGAACCUGUGGAUGACCCAGGCAUCCUAGCUUCCCUGGAGACCUCCUGUAACAUGGGUUACGUGGCAUAAUAUGACAUCAGUGAACAUAGGACAAGAGACCAGAUGAAUGAAUGUCAGCCAGUGCUUUGUGAUGAAUGAAACUUCAUUAAUGGGAAGGCAUGCUCCAUUCAUCUGAUUAUUCCUGUGGCUUGGGCAAGUCCAGAUGAGGAUGCAACUACAUCUGUAUUUAUGCUGGUUGCUGCUCCUGGAUUGGUCUCUACAACAAACCCCACCACUAUUCCUAAUAAUCCUUAAUUUUCAGGGUGUUGAUAAAAUGUAAUCUAUCAUGAUAUGAUCAAUCUUUAGUAAAUUUUAUAUUUAAGAUUUAA